GACGAACGCUGGCGGCGUGCUUAACACAUGCAAGUCGAACGGAAAGGCCCUGCUUUUGUGGGGUGCUCGAGUGGCGAACGGGUGAGUAACACGUGAGUAACCUGCCCUUGACUUUGGGAUAACUUCAGGAAACUGGGGCUAAUACCGGAUAGGAGCUCCUGCUGCAUGGUGGGGGUUGGAAAGUUUCGGCGGUUGGGGAUGGACUCGCGGCUUAUCAGCUUGUUGGUGGGGUAGUGGCCUACCAAGGCUUUGACGGGUAGCCGGCCUGAGAGGGUGACCGGCCACAUUGGGACUGAGAUACGGCCCAGACUCCUACGGGAGGCAGCAGUGGGGAAUAUUGCACAAUGGGCGGAAGCCUGAUGCAGCAACGCCGCGUGCGGGAUGACGGCCUUCGGGUUGUAAACCGCUUUCGCCUGUGACGAAGCGUGAGUGGCGGUAAUGGGUAAAGAAGCACCGGCUAACUACGUG
rnacentral:rRNA from 1 species